AGAGCGAACGCUGGCGGCAGGCCUAACACAUGCAAGUCGAGCGCCCCGCAAGGGGAGCGGCAGACGGGAGAGUAACACGUGGGAACGUACCCUUCAGUUCGGAACAACCCAGGGAAACUUGGGCUAAUACCGAAUACGUCCGUAAGGAGAAAGAUUUAUCGCUGAAGGAUCGGCCCGCGUCUGAUUAGCUUGUUGGUGAGGUAAUGGCUCACCAAGGCUACGAUCAGUAGCUGGUCUGAGAGGAUGAUCAGCCUCACUGGGACUGAGACACGGCCCAGACUCCUACGGGAGGCAGCAGUGGGGAAUAUUGGACAAUGGGCGCAAGCCUGAUCCAGCCAUGCCGCGUGGGUGAUGAAGGCCCUAGGGUUGUAAAGCCCGUUUCGGCGGGAAGAUAAUGACGGUACCCGCAGAAGAAGCCCGGCUAACUUCGUGCCAGCAGCCGC
rnacentral:rRNA from 1 species